CUUCUGUCCUCUGGGUCCCCACAAGCCUGGAUGAACUCAAGAUCUGACUCAGUGGCACAGUGAGGAGACCUUUGAGGCCUCAGUGACCAUCCUUGGACUUCACCUCUCACGGCUUUCAGGCAGAGAGGCCCUCCCAUGCCCACAACAGGCUGAGCCCAGCCUUCCUCGGGGUUUGCUUCCAGGCCUGACUUUUACUCCCCUUUCUAAGUGUGCUCCCGGGAAUGCUGUCUACUUGUUGCGAUUUUACUCCCGUGGCCUGUGCUAGCUGCCUGCUUGGCCGUUGGGACUGAAGGGAUGCUCAUCCACUUGGCACACUGACUGCAAGCCUGGCACCGGCCUUGCCUUUGUUCUCCCAUGAGUCCUCUUGAAGGCAA
rnacentral:lncRNA from 1 species